UCUCCGUAGGUGAACCUGCGGAGGGAUCAUUACAGAGUUCAUGCCCUACCGGGUAGAUCUCCCACCCUAUGUUAUUAUUACUUUGUUGCUUUGGCGGGCCGUUAGGCUCCGGCCCGACUACCGGCCCCGGCUGGUAAGCGCCCGCCAGAGGACCCAAAACCCUGAAUAUUAGUGUCGUCUGAGUACUAUAUAAUAGCUAAAACUUUCAACAAAGGAUCUCUUGGUUCUG
rnacentral:misc_RNA from 1 species